rnacentral:rRNA from 1 species
GGUUAAGCGAUUAAGCGUACACGGUGGAUGCCCUGGCAGUCAGAGGCGAUGAAGGACGUGCUAAUCUGCGAAAAGCGUCGGUAAGGUGAUAUGAACCGUUAUAACCGGCGAUGUCCGAAUGGGGAAACCCAGUGUGAUUCGUCACACUAUCGUUAACUGAAUACAUAGGUUAACGAGGCGAACCGGGGGAACUGAAACAUCUAAGUACCCCGAGGAAAAGAAAUCAACCGAGAUUCCCCCAGUAGCGGCGAGCGAACGGGGAGCAGCCCAGAGUCUGAAUCAGCUUGUGUGUUAGUGGAACGGUCUGGAAAGUCCGACGGUACAGGGUGAUAGUCCCGUACACCAAAAUGCACAGGCUGUGAACUCGAAGAGUAGGGCGGGACACGUGGUAUCCUGUCUGAAUAUGGGGGGACCAUCCUCCAAGGCUAAAUACUCCUGACUGACCGAUAGUGAACCAGUACCGUGAGGGAAAGGCGAAAAGAACCCCGGCGAGGGGAGUGAAAAAGAACCUGAAACCGUGUACGUACAAGCAGUGGGAGCACCUUCGGGUGUGACUGCGUACCUUUUGUAUAAUGGGUCAGCGACUUAUAUUCUGUAGCAAGGUUAACCGUAUAGGGGAGCCGCAGGGAAACCGAGUCUUAACUGGGCGUUAAGUUGCAGGGUAUAGACCCGAAACCCGGUGAUCUAGCCAUGGGCAGGUUGAAGGUUGGGUAACACUAACUGGAGGACCGAACCGACUAAUGUUGAAAAAUUAGCGGAUGACUUGUGGCUGGGGGUGAAAGGCCAAUCAAACCGGGAGAUAGCUGGUUCUCCCCGAAAGCUAUUUAGGUAGCGCCUCGUGAACUCAUCUUCGGGGGUAGAGCACUGUUUCGGCUAGGGGGUCAUCCCGACUUACCAACCCGAUGCAAACUACGAAUACCGAAGAAUGUUAUCACGGGAGACACACGGCGGGUGCUAACGUCCGUCGUGAAGAGGGAAACAACCCAGACCGCCAGCUAAGGUCCCAAAGUCAUGGUUAAGUGGGAAACGAUGUGGGAAGGCACAGACAGCCAGGAUGUUGGCUUAGAAGCAGCCAUCAUUUAAAGAAAGCGUAAUAGCUCACUGGUCGAGUCGGCCUGCGCGGAAGAUGUAACGGGGCUAAACCAUGCACCGAAGCUGCGGCAGCGACACUAUGUGUUGUUGGGUAGGGGAGCGUUCUGUAAGCCUGCGAAGGUGACCUGUGAGGGUUGCUGGAGGUAUCAGAAGUGCGAAUGCUGACAUAAGUAACGAUAAAGCGGGUGAAAAGCCCGCUCGCCGGAAGACCAAGGGUUCCUGUCCAACGUUAAUCGGGGCAGGGUGAGUCGACCCCUAAGGCGAGGCCGAAAGGCGUAGUCGAUGGGAAACAGGUUAAUAUUCCUGUACUUGGUGUUACUGCGAAGGGGGGACGGAGAAGGCUAUGUUAGCCGGGCGACGGUUGUCCCGGUUUAAGCAUGUAGGCUGAUUGUCCAGGCAAAUCCGGAUAAUCAAGGCUGAGGUGUGAUGACGAGGCACUACGGUGCUGAAGUAACAAAUGCCCUGCUUCCAGGAAAAGCCUCUAAGCAUCAGGUAACAUCAAAUCGUACCCCAAACCGACACAGGUGGUCAGGUAGAGAAUACCAAGGCGCUUGAGAGAACUCGGGUGAAGGAACUAGGCAAAAUGGUGCCGUAACUUCGGGAGAAGGCACGCUGGUGUGUAGGUGAAGCCCCUGCGGGUGGAGCUGAGACCAGUCGAAGAUACCAGCUGGCUGCAACUGUUUAUUAAAAACACAGCACUGUGCAAACACGAAAGUGGACGUAUACGGUGUGACGCCUGCCCGGUGCCGGAAGGUUAAUUGAUGGGGUUAUCCGUAAGGAGAAGCUCUUGAUCGAAGCCCCGGUAAACGGCGGCCGUAACUAUAACGGUCCUAAGGUAGCGAAAUUCCUUGUCGGGUAAGUUCCGACCUGCACGAAUGGCGUAAUGAUGGCCAGGCUGUCUCCACCCGAGACUCAGUGAAAUUGAACUCGCUGUGAAGAUGCAGUGUACCCGCGGCAAGACGGAAAGACCCCGUGAACCUUUACUAUAGCUUGACACUGAACAUUGAGCCUUGAUGUGUAGGAUAGGUGGGAGGCUUUGAAGCGUGGACGCCAGUCUGCGUGGAGCCAACCUUGAAAUACCACCCUUUAAUGUUUGAUGUUCUAACGUUGGCCCCUUACCGGGGUUGCGGACAGUGUCUGGUGGGUAGUUUGACUGGGGCGGUCUCCUCCCAAAGCGUAACGGAGGAGCACGAAGGUUAGCUAAUCCUGGUCGGACAUCAGGAGGUUAGUGCAAUGGCAUAAGCUAGCUUGACUGCGAGCGUGACGGCGCGAGCAGGUGCGAAAGCAGGUCAUAGUGAUCCGGUGGUUCUGAAUGGAAGGGCCAUCGCUCAACGGAUAAAAGGUACUCCGGGGAUAACAGGCUGAUACCGCCCAAGAGUUCAUAUCGACGGCGGUGUUUGGCACCUCGAUGUCGGCUCAUCACAUCCUGGGGCUGAAGUAGGUCCCAAGGGUAUGGCUGUUCGCCAUUUAAAGUGGUACGCGAGCUGGGUUUAGAACGUCGUGAGACAGUUCGGUCCCUAUCUGCCGUGGGCGCUGGAGAAUUGAGGGGGGCUGCUCCUAGUACGAGAGGACCGGAGUGGACGCAUCACUGGUGUUCGGGUUGUCAUGCCAAUGGCACUGCCCGGUAGCUAAAUGCGGAAGAGAUAAGUGCUGAAAGCAUCUAAGCACGAAACUUGCCCCGAGAUGAGUUCUCCCUGAGACUUUAAGUCUCCUGAAGGAACGUUGAAGACGACGACGUUGAUAGGCCGGGUGUGUAAGCGCAGCGAUGCGUUGAGCUAACCGGUACUAAUGAACCGUGAGGCUUAACCUU